rnacentral:lncRNA from 1 species
AUUUUGAUCAACCACUAGCUAAAUUCAGAAAAUCAACGACAAAAAUCUGUUCAUUCGAGUAAAAUCGUAAUUGACUGACAAAAACAACAUUGUAAACACAAUGACAAUGGCUGCCGUGAAGAAGACAAUUACAAUAUCGGAUCCGAUUCCGGCAGCGGAUAAGGGUUAUUCCGGGUUUUAACUACCAAAAAAAAUCCAUGCAGGUGACAAAAUACAUCUAUGCAUGGUAAAUGAAUAUAAACACUAGAAUUGAAAACCACUAGAUAUAUGUUAAAGAAAGAAAAAGCAGAA